GAGUGUUAUGGCUCUUUCAGAAUUUGUCUAGCAGGCUUUCCAGUUUAUGCUGGAGAGCACCU
rnacentral:snRNA from 1 species